rnacentral:rRNA from 1 species
GACGAACGCUGGCGGCGUGCUUAACACAUGCCAGUCGAACGGAAAGGCCCCUUUGUGGGUCCUCGAGUGGCGAACGGGGGCGUAACACGUGAGUAACCUGCCCCUGACUUCGGGAUAAGUUUAGGAAAGUGGGGCUAAUACCGGUAAGGAAUCCUUUCUUCAAGGGGGGGGUUGGAUAGCUUCGGCGGUUUUUGAUGGACUCGCGGCAUAGCAGCUUGCUGGGGGGGUUGUGGCUUACCAAGGCUUUGUCGGGUAGCCGGCCUGGGUGGGCGACCGGCGACAUUGGGACUGAGGUACGGCCCAGACUCCUACGGGAGGCAGCAGUGGGGAAGCUUGCAGGAUGGGCGGAAGCCUGAUGCAGCAACGCCGCGUGCGGGAUGACGGCCUUCGGGUUGAAAAACGCAUUCAGCAGGGGCGAAGCUUGUGGUGACGGUACCUGCAGAAGAAGCACCGGCUAACUACGUG